rnacentral:other from 1 species
GCGUUGCUGCGCUGCGCGUUAGCAGACUGAAUCCCCGGGGCCUUAAUGAUCCCAAAGGGAGCUGUACCUGACCGGGCCCGUGGGCCCGGACAAACGGCGCCCACCUACGUUGUAGGUUUCCCGGGAUCAAACUCUCGACGGCUGCCGUGGCUUCGCC